CAUCUCUUGGCAUAAUAGGUCAGUGUGUCUGGCUGUGAACCAGAAGGUUGGUGGUUCGAGCCCACUCAGGGAUGG
rnacentral:tRNA from 1 species